AGAUUGAACGCUGGCGGCAGGCCUAACACAUGCAAGUCGAGCGGUAGAGAGGUGCUCGCACCUCUUGAGAGCGGCGGACGGGUGAGUAAUGCCUAGGAAUCUGCCUAGUGGUGGGGGAUAACGUUCGGAAACGGACGCUAAUACCGCAUACGUCCUACGGGAGAAAGCGGGGGACCUUCGGGCCUCGCGCCAUUAGAUGAGCCUAGGUCGGAUUAGCUAGUUGGUGAGGUAAUGGCUCACCAAGGCGACGAUCCGUAACUGGUCUGAGAGGAUGAUACAGUCACACUGGAAACUGGAGACACGGUCCCAG
rnacentral:rRNA from 1 species